rnacentral:rRNA from 2 species
AGAGUUUGAUCAUGGCUCAGAUUGAACGCUGGCGGCAGGCCUAACACAUGCAAGUCGAACGGUAACAGGAAGCAGCUUGCUGCUUUGCUGACGAGUGGCGGACGGGUGAGUAAUGUCUGGGAAACUGCCUGAUGGAGGGGGAUAACUACUGGAAACGGUGGCUAAUACCGCAUAACGUCGCAAGACCAAAGAGGGGGACCUUCGGGCCUCUUGCCAUCAGAUGUGCCCAGAUGGGAUUAGCUUGUUGGUGAGGUAACGGCUCACCAAGGCGACGAUCCCUAGCUGGUCUGAGAGGAUGACCAGCCACACUGGAACUGAGACACGGUCCAGACUCCUACGGGAGGCAGCAGUGGGGAAUAUUGCACAAUGGGCGCAAGCCUGAUGCAGCCAUGCCGCGUGUAUGAAGAAGGCCUUCGGGUUGUAAAGUACUUUCAGCGGGGAGGAAGGUGUUGUGGUUAAUAACCGCAGCAAUUGACGUUACCCGCAGAAGAAGCACCGGCUAACUCCGUGCCAGCAGCCGCGGUAAUACGGAGGGUGCAAGCGUUAAUCGGAAUUACUGGGCGUAAAGCGCACGCAGGCGGUCUGUCAAGUCGGAUGUGAAAUCCCCGGGCUCAACCUGGGAACUGCAUUCGAAACUGGCAGGCUUGAGUCUUGUAGAGGGGGGUAGAAUUCCAGGUGUAGCGGUGAAAUGCGUAGAGAUCUGGAGGAAUACCGGUGGCGAAGGCGGCCCCCUGGACAAAGACUGACGCUCAGGUGCGAAAGCGUGGGGAGCAAACAGGAUUAGAUACCCUGGUAGUCCACGCCGUAAACGAUGUCUACUUGGAGGUUGUGCCCUUGAGGCGUGGCUUCCGGAGCUAACGCGUUAAGUAGACCGCCUGGGGAGUACGGCCGCAAGGUUAAAACUCAAAUGAAUUGACGGGGGCCCGCACAAGCGGUGGAGCAUGUGGUUUAAUUCGAUGCAACGCGAAGAACCUUACCUGGUCUUGACAUCCACAGAACUUUCCAGAGAUGGACUGGUGCCUUCGGGAACUGUGAGACAGGUGCUGCAUGGCUGUCGUCAGCUCGUGUUGUGAAAUGUUGGGUUAAGUCCCGCAACGAGCGCAACCCUUAUCCUUUGUUGCCAGCGGUCCGGCCGGGAACUCAAAGGAGACUGCCAGUGAUAAACUGGAGGAAGGUGGGGAUGACGUCAAGUCAUCAUGGCCCUUACGACCAGGGCUACACACGUGCUACAAUGGCGCAUACAAAGAGAAGCGACCUCGCGAGAGCAAGCGGACCUCAUAAAGUGCGUCGUAGUCCGGAUUGGAGUCUGCAACUCGACUCCAUGAAGUCGGAAUCGCUAGUAAUCGUGGAUCAGAAUGCCACGGUGAAUACGUUCCCGGGCCUUGUACACACCGCCCGUCACACCAUGGGAGUGGGUUGCAAAAGAAGUAGGUAGCUUAACCUUCGGGAGGGCGCUUACCACUUUGUGAUUCAUGACUGGGGUGAAGUCGUAACAAGGUAACCGUAGGGGAACCUGCGGUUG